GACGAACGCUGGCGGCGUGCUUAACACAUGCAAGUCGAAUGGAAAGGCCCCUUUGGGGGUACUCGAGUGGCGAACGGGUGAGUAACACGUGAGUAACCUGCCCUUGACUUCGGGAUAACUUCAGGAAACUGGGGCUAAUACCGGAUAGGAAUCCUUGCUGCAUGGUGGGGGUUGGAAAGCUUCGGCGGUUUUGGAUGGACUCGCGGCUUAUCAGCUUGUUGGUGGGGUAGUGGCUUACCAAGGCUUUGACGGGUAGCCGGCCUGAGAGGGCGACCGGCCACAGUGGGACUGAGAUACGGCCCAGACGCCUACGGGAGGCAGCAGUGGGGAAUAUUGCACAAUGGGCGGAAGCCUGAUGCAGCAACGCCGCGUGCGGGAUGACGGCCUUCGGGUUGUAAACCGCUUUCAGCAGGGGCGAAGCUUGUGGUGACGGUACCUGCAGAAGAAGCACCGGCUAACUACGUG
rnacentral:rRNA from 1 species